CAAAAGGGCACAAAACAUUUCAGGCAGAGGCAGUAGGAGAAACCAGUUGUCUUCCAAGAAGUCAGAAACUAGAGACAUUUGCAAAAGGAAUCUAUCAAGAGAUCCAAAGAGGAUACGCCUGUACACUUGAUAGAGAGCAAGACGUAAGGCCCUCAGGAUGGAAACAAGCCAAGGAGCCCAGAAGCAGGGCCACGUCCAGGAAGCCAACAUUGCCCAGGAAAGGAACGAAGAAACCCAGCAGGACAGAGGCUCAAAAUCACUCCCAAGUGACGAUUCUCAAAUGCUUCAUCUGGGAGCCAAACCCGUUUUGACGCGCCUGCAAACUCCUUGUUGCCUCUUCCUCGAGGCGUCACCCCGUGUGUGUUAGCCGCUCGUGUUGGCUGUAAGGUCCAUCCUGUGCUUGUGGUUUGUGGGGGCACCUGUUUGGGGCUUGAGAGUUAUAGGUAUUGCUGAGUUUGCUUAGUUCUACUUAUAAAGAAAACAAAGCCAAAUGCUUUUGCUCCAGCUACAGAUCACUGGGGAGAAGGAAAAACUGUUUUUAAUCAUUCAGCCUGUCUUCCCUCUUCUUUCACAUUCCCUCUGUAUUCCUUUUUCAUCUUCACUUAAGAAAUGCCUUCUGCCCCUCCCCUGCUCAUGCUCUGUCUCAAAAAAAAAAAAUAAAUAAAUAAAUAAAUAAAAAAUGCCCUUGGGAGACACCACUGAGGUUGAAGGGGGGUGGGGGAGACAAAGAUGGGACUUGCCCUGGCGCGCUUUGCAGGUCAGGUGUCAGGCAAAGGAAGAAAACGGAACGUAUGGAAAGGAAGAACAUAUUUUUGUGAUUUGUUUUUUUUUUCUUUAAUCAAUAUGUUAGCAGGACGAAAAUUAAUCAGGUUUUUUAAGCUGAAACUGAGGGUGCGGAAGAAGGGGUAUGGUUGGUUGUCUUUAUCUGUGUUACAGUAGAAGCUCAGAGAAAGGGGCUCAGGCUGUGGCAGGAAGGAUGGGAGCACGAUUGAGUCGGGAAGGAGGGCCCGGGGUUGCUGGCCGUGGUGGUCCAGGACCAGUGACCCUGGACUUGAGCAAGGAGCUUCAGCUGAGGCUAAGGGCAGUGCUGCCCGUGAGCCUCUCGUGGGCUCCUGGAUGGCUUCUGCAGUCUCUUGCACGAUAAGGGUCUCCUGGCCAAUCACCACCCCGAGUUCAAAUCCUGGCUCUCUUCACUUUGACCAGUGUGAUUUGGGGCAACUAAAUCCAUAUCUGAGGCUCUUUAGUGUAUCUGCUAACGCAGAGUGAUUUAAUGCCCUGCUCUGACCACGCUGCCUUACUAGGAUGUGUUACCCAUUUGUGGGACCCGGUGGCGAAGAAGAGGAGAAACGCCUCCUUCAAAAGUUGCUGUCUAGACAAUUGACACAAAGCGUUAAAGCCCGCACAGGGCCCUUAGUGCAGAGCCCUGUGGCUCUGCCCCGGUCACACGCCCGCCCGGGAAGCCUGCUCUAUAUAGCCUGGAGGUAAUCAUCCCUGAGCCCCUGGGGGAUGGUCUGGCUCAGGAAGACUCAGAUUAAGCCAACACAAGUUGACCCUGUGCCGAGGACCCGGCAGGCCUCACGCUGCUCUGCACGGACCUGCUGUGAGCAGGUUACAGGGAUGGUUUGAAGCACACAGUCUGUUAUGGAUGUGUUUAAAUAGAUCUAAAAGCUUUCAGCUUGGUUUUUUUUUUCCCCCAAGUUGAACCCCCAAGCUUACUAAGGCCAAAUGGGAUCACAAAUGCAGACUGCAUGGCCCAUCGUAGAAACCAACCGACGUUUCCCCGUAUUUGUUCCCGGAAUCCCCCGCAAGAGGGUCAGGAGAUCGCUGCUUGCAGGGCGGGCCCUCGGUUUCGGCAACAGAGCCGGGGAAUCAAAAGCUCCGUAGCUGCCGCAUGGGAACCUGCCUUUGUACCAAUGUCCCCAGAGGCUCUCACGUCUCCACGGCUUUCACCUGACUGCAGUGAACCCGAUACCCAUCGGCACCCUCCCCAUUUGAAAGAUAAUCUUCAUGCAUAAUUCCUGCUCGGCCGAAUGACGCCUAGCUAUCACCAGAAACGCGUGACCCUUAACAACGACAGCUCUCAUUUUCCAGAGCGAUGAGCAUCGCACCAAUUCGAACAACGCAAGCCACGGCGCACGAGCAUUUUCUAUGCGCCAAGCGCUUGUUUAAUCCCACAAUGACUUCCGAGGUGGGGGUUGCCCACCCGUGUUCUAGGAAAGGAACCGGAUGCUCAGAGAGACUAAAAGACUUGGAGCCAGCAAGCAGCAGUGUUGUGAUGGAAGCCUGGCUUUUUGGCGGGCCCAACAUCCACAGCGUUCCAUUCUUUCCACGUGAGACCGACUACCUUGCCAGGUAGGAAAAAAAUUACCAGUGCGGGUAAAUUGUCCCCAUAAACUUCCUUUCUUUUUUUUUUUUUUGUGAUGUAGGUGCAUUGGCCUUCCUUGCAGCAAACUUGGAGCUUGGAGAAAGAACCUUCUGGAGAACCACAGGGUCUCUUGCUUGGCAAGAGGCCCUCAAAGGAGAAGCGUUAUUGAACCGCACUGUUUUCUCUUGUCCGAAGCUAACCCCAGCAUAUGCCUCGCGAGACCUCUGUCACUACAUUUUUUAGUUAAUAAAUCUGGCU